AUAUUACUAAGCGGAGGAGAAGAAAUUAACAAAGAUUGCCUUAGUAAGGGCGACUGAACCGGCAAGAGCUCAAAAUUGGAAUCGGAAAUUCAAAGAAUUUUCGAAUUGUAAUCAGGUUCACCUAAAUACGAGAAUUCGCUUAAGUACGUCGAAUCGUACGCCAAGGAGGGUGAAAGCCCCGUGUAGCGUCUUCUCGAGUAAGGUGCGCCCCACAAGAGUCGGGUAGCCUGGAACUGCUGCCCUAAGCGGGAGAUAUGAAUCUUCCAAAGCUAAAUAUGGAUGGGAGACCGAUAGCGAACAAGUACUGUGAAGGAAAGAUGAAAAGGACUUUGAAAAGAGAGUGAAAAGAUCUGAAAUCGUUGAGAAGGAAGCGGUAGAAACUGAUGGUCGUGCUGAUGGUUAUCGGGGUGAACAGCUCCGUAGUACCUACCAGAGCGACGGGCAAAAUGAAGUAGAAAGCAUCAAAAAAGGCUUUAGCCGAUUAGGGUGUUAUCUGCUUGAGGGACUAAUGUGAUUUUGCCAAAAUGGUUUUUACUGU
rnacentral:rRNA from 1 species